rnacentral:rRNA from 1 species
UAGGGAGGAAGGUAGUGUAGUUAACACCUGCAUUAUUUGACGUUACCUACAGAAGAAGCACCGGCUAACUCCGUGCCAGCAGCCGCGGUAAUACGGAGGGUGCGAGCGUUAAUCGGAAUUACUGGGCGUAAAGCGCAUGCAGGCGGCCUGUUAAGUCAGAUGUGAAAGCCCGGGGCUUAACCUCGGAAUUGCAUUUGAAACUGGCAGGCUAGAGUCUUGUAGAGGGGGUAGAAUUUCAGGUGUAGCGGUGAAAAUGCGUAGAGAUCUGAAGGAAUACCAGUGGCGAAGGCCGGCCCCCUGGACAAAGACUGACGCUCAGAUGCGAAAAGCGUGGGGAGCAAACAGGAUUAGAUACCCUGGUAG